rnacentral:rRNA from 1 species
AUUGAACGCUGGCGGCAGGCCUAACACAUACAAGUCGAGCGGAUGAAGGGAGCUUGCUCCUGGAUUCAGCGGCGGACGGGUGAGUAAUGCCUAGGAAUCUGCCUGGUAGUGGGGGAUAACGUCCGGAAACGGGCGCUAAUACCGCAUACGUCCUGAGGGAGAAAGUGGGGGAUCUUCGGACCUCACGCUAUCAGAUGAGCCUAGGUCGGAUUAGCUAGUUGGUGGGGUAAAGGCCUACCAAGGCGACGAUCCGUAACUGGUCUGAGAGGAUGAUCAGUCACACUGGAACUGAGACACGGUCCAGACUCCUACGGGAGGCAGCAGUGGGGAAUAUUGGACAAUGGGCGAAAGCCUUAUCCAGCCAUGCCGCGUGUGUGAAGAAGGUCUUCGGAUUGUAAAGCACUUUAAGUUGGGAGGAAGGGCAGUAAGUUAAUACCUUGCUGUUUUGACGUUACCAACAGAAUAAGCACCGGCUAACUUCGUG